GAAAUGCGAUAAGUAGUGUGAAUUGCAGAAUUCAGUGAAUCAUCGAAUCUUUGAACGCACAUUGCACUUCCUGGUAUUCCGGGGAGUAUGCCCGUUUCAGAAUCAUUUAAACUCUCACUAGGUUUUCUUCUGAGGAUCUAGUGGACGUUGGGCGCUUUGACUAGUUCGACUAGUCAUCGCCUUAAAACAAGUUUUUUUGUUCUGCAGCUUGUAAGCAGAUCAAAGUGCAACAGAUUUAUUUCUAUAACAUUUUGAUCAUACUCUCAAGUCUUGCUUUUUAAAACUUGGUCUGAAAUCGGGCAAGAAAACCCGCUGAACUUAA
rnacentral:misc_RNA from 1 species